rnacentral:rRNA from 1 species
UCCCAGACUCCUACGGGAGGCAGCAGUGGGGGAUAUUGCACAAUGGGGGAAACCCUGAUGCAGCGACGCCGCGUGUGGGAAGACGGUCCUCUGGAUUGUAAACCACUGUCCCCAGGGACGAAGAUGACGGUACCUGGGGAGGAAGCUCCGGCUAACUACGUGCCAGCAGCCGCGGUAAUACGUAGGGAGCAAGCGUUGUCCGGAAUUACUGGGUGUAAAGGGAGCGUAGGCGGGAUGGCAAGUUGGGUGUUAAAUCUACCGGCUCAACUGGUAGUCGCACUCAAAACUGCUAUUCUUGAGUGAAGUAGAGGCAGGCGGAAUUCCUAGUGUAGCGGUGAAAUGCAUAGAUAUCACGCAGAACUCCGAUUGCGAAGGCAGCGCACCGGCGCCCUACUGACGCUCAGGCACGAAAGCGUGGGUAUCGAACAGGAUUAGAUACCCGGAUA